UCUGUAUCAUUAUGGCUUCAAAAAUGUCAAAUAAAAAUAAAUUAAUUAUGUGUUUUGGAACUUGGAGAUGACAAACUCUAGUGCAGUUUUAGUGGCGCUCGCAUUGAUUGUUAGCGAAUUAAAUUUAUUACACAAUGUAAACCUUUUAAUAGAGGACUUCUUUCCGUCAAACAUAGUUUUUCUUCUUAGUAUCUGUAUCCUCCUGGAACAGCUGCGAGUAAUAUCAGUGCUACGUCUGUACUCACCUUUAAGUUUUAUAUUUGAGAUUCUUUUCUCGCUGUUUAUUCUAGAAUGUUCACUGCUAUACAUUUGGCGGCCUCUACAGUUAUACCUACUAGUCAACGCUGAUGAUAUCCUAGUACAAUUAUAUGAGAACGAGACAUUUAACUGGCUUGUUUGUCCCCUGUGUUGUGGUACCCGUAACCCUGCGCCGGACUUUGCUCGCCUGGUUCGGAUCCCGGCUGUGCACCAAUGGACUUUCUAUGAGCGCAUUCAACAUUCGCUCGAACGGUGAAGGAAAUAGUGCAGAAACCGGCUUGCCUUAGACCCAAAAAGUUCUGACCUACUUGCCAAGUGACAAGUGACCAUGUAACAGAUAAAGACAUUUGAGGUCCAGACAUAAAAAGUUAAGGAACUUGAAUGAUACGUAUUAGGAAGAAUUUCUAUAAGUUUUUGAUAAGUUUUGGAAUAAGCCCCUUAACAAUGAAAUUGCCCCUUUGUAGGGCGUGGGCCUUACGUUGGAAAACACUGCCUUC